UACGGGGGGGGCAAGCGUUGUUCGGAUUUACUGGGCGUAAAGGGAGCGUAGGCGGUUGAUCAAGUCCGGUGUGAAAGCUUUACCACUCAACGGAAAGAGGUCACUGGAAACUGGUCAGCUAGAGUAGGGUAGAGGCAAGCGGAAUUCCUGGUGUAGCGGUGGAAUGUUUAGAUAUCAGGAAGAACACCUGUGGCGAAGGCGGCUUGCUGGGCCCUCACUGACGCUGAGGCUCGAAAGCGUGGGGAGCAAACGGG
rnacentral:rRNA from 1 species